AUUGAACGCUGGCGGCAUGCCUUACACAUGCAAGUCGAACGGUAACAGGUUAAGCUGACGAGUGGCGAACGGGUGAGUAAUGUAUCGGAACGUGCCCAGUCGUGGGGGAUAACUGCUCGAAAGAGCAGCUAAUACCGCAUACGACCUGCGGGGGAAGGUGGGGGAUCGCAAGACCUCGCCGGAUUGGAGCGGCCGAUAUCAGCUUAGGUAGUUGGUGGGGUAAAGGCCUACCAAGCCUACGAUCUGUAGCUGGUCUGAGAGGACGACCAGCCACACUGGGACUGAGACACGGCCCAGACUCCUACGGGAGGCAGCAGUGGGGAAUUUUGGACAAUGGACGCAAGUCUGAUCCAGCCAUGCCGCGUGCGGGAAGAAGGCCUUCGGGUUGUAAACCGCUUUUGUCAGGGAAGAAAAGGUUCUGGUUAAUACCUGGGACUCAUGACGGUACCUGAAGAAUAAGCACCGGCUAACUACGUGCCAGCAGCCGCGGUAAUAC
rnacentral:rRNA from 1 species